GGGUUUGUAGCUCAGUCGGUAGAGCAAUGGCCUCUUAAGCCACUGGUCCGGGGUUCGAAUCCCCGCAAACCCACCA
rnacentral:tRNA from 1 species